AGCAGGUUUUGUUUAGGUUGCAUAUUGUUCUGUUUCCUUCUGUUCAUAUUGCAUAUAGCUUAGGUAAUUUUGUUUAGCCAUUUCUAGGUUCUUUUAGAUUCUGUUUCAAGCUUUUCCUCAUUCCUUGCUGAAUUCGAUCAAUUUUUAGCUUUAUUUCCUUAAAUUAGGAUUGUCAAGAGUAGACUUAGCUUUAGAUUUAUGCAGAGGUAAUUCUAGCAUUGAUUUUUGCAGUCUCUGGUUCAUUUCAAGUUAGUAAUUUUUGCAUAGGAUGAGUAGCAAGUCAGUUUUAACAAUUUUUAAACCCUUGAGAGAUUUUGGGCCAAUUUUUGUCUUUCUUGUGUGAUAACAUGCAUGUUUAGCUUUCAUUCUGAUUUUGCAUUGAUUCUUUAUUGAUGUGCUUACUCUUGGUAACUUUGAAUAUGAUCUAGGCAUCCUUCAUUUUCAGCCAUAGCCAAUUUAACUUACCCAUUUCAAUUCUUACCAUUGCACCCUGCUUUGAGCCUUAGCCUUUUUCUUUGCUUUCCAUCCAAUUUAAGCCAUUCUCACAACCAUUAAUCAACCCUGGAGACUUGCGAGAUUUAGGGAGGAGUCUAGAACUUGGUGGGUGCGUGAAAAAAGAGUGAUGCCAAAAGUGGAAAAGAAAAGAAAAUUGUGCUGAACAAUAUGGUUUGGUUGAAAAAGAAAGAAACAGGUCUGGAAAUGAGAAAACUCAGAAAAAGAAAGUAAAAGAAAGACCUGAAAUAAAAGAGAAAAGAACCAGAGAAAAAGAAAGAAAAAAAUUUUGUAGGCUGGCUAAAGUUUGAUUGCACUGAGUUCUAGUUUUCUCCCUUGUUCUUCACAUUUCUCUGUUUCAUUCCCAUUCUCAUUAUUCACUGUUUCUCCAUUUCAUUCCAUGAACAUUACAAGCCAAAUAAAGACCUAUUGAUUUAGAGGAACCUUGAGUCAAGCACUGUCAUUUAGAGUCUCUUCAAAGUUGUGAAUGGUGGUUAGCAUGUCAUGAUUGAGUGAAACAGGAUAGCCAUAAAACAGUUGAGUGAUUGAGUGCAUACACCGUAUCCUGUGAGGUUGAGGCUGACUGCUACUUUUCCAUAUGUUUGAUUUGCUGAUUUUGAUUGGAUUGAGCUGUUAUAUGCCUGCUAGAAUUGCUGAAGCUUGAGUUUGAAGUUGAGAUUUCUUUUG
rnacentral:lncRNA from 1 species